GAAACCGAGUCUUAAUAGGGCGUCUAGUUGCAGGGUAUAGACCCGAAACCGAGUGAUCUAUCCAUGAGCAGGUUGAAAGUGACGUAACAGUUACCGGAGGACCGAACCCACUGUCUUUGAAAAGCCAGGGGAUGACUUGUGGAUAGGGGUGAAAGGCUAAUCAAACUCGGUGAUAGCUGGUUCUCCCCGAAAGCUAUUUAGGUAGCGCCUCACGUAUCACCGCUGGGGGUAGAGCACUGUUUCGGCUAGGGGGUCAUCC
rnacentral:rRNA from 1 species